AGCGGGGUUAACAGGCUGAUCUUGUUCCGGCGGAAAUGUAAGUUCUAGUCAUUUCGGCGAUGAGAUCAGCCUGUCGAACUUGGU
rnacentral:pre_miRNA from 1 species